CACAUGCAAGUCGAGCGGAGAGAGGUAGCUUGCUACUGAUCUUAGCGGCGGACGGGUGAGUAAUGCUUAGGAAUCUGCCUAUUAGUGGGGGACAACAUUUCGAAAGGAAUGCUAAUACCGCAUACGUCCUACGGGAGAAAGCAGGGGAUCUUCGGACCUUGCGCUAAUAGAUGAGCCUAAGUCGGAUUAGCUAGUUGGUGGGGUAAAGGCCUACCAAGGCGACGAUCUGUAGCGGGUCUGAGAGGAUGAUCCGCCACACUGGGACUGAGACACGGCCCAGACUCCUACGGGAGGCAGCAGUGGGGAAUAUUGGACAAUGGGCGCAAGCCUGAUCCAGCCAUGCCGCGUGUGUGAAGAAGGCCUUAUGGUUGUAAAGCACUUUAAGCGAGGAGGARGCUACUUUUAGUUAAUACCUAARAGAUAGUGGACGUUACCUUCGCARAAUAAGCACCGGCUUAACYUUGUGCCAAGCAGCCCGCGGUAAUWACCAGAAGGGUGCAAAGCCGUUAAAUCGGAAUUUAACUGGGCCGUAAAAAGCC
rnacentral:rRNA from 1 species